AUUAAUGACACCAAGUUGCUAAUGCCUUGUGUUUAAGUGAUUUGAGUUAGGCAUAGCAACACAUGUGAUGAAGGUGCAUGGUGGCAUGGAAAGAUGGCCACAUGAUUACAAAGAGAUGAAGCUUGAUGUGGAGAUCAUGAUGAUAGACGAUGAGCAAAGUUAUCAAGGCAAAGGUAUAAACAUAGGGUUUUACUUUUGCCGGUCUAAGAUGAGUAGAG
rnacentral:lncRNA from 1 species